rnacentral:piRNA from 1 species
UGGUUGCUUACUUGGGCAUUACACCCUUCU